AUUAUUAUAUUUUAUUAAUUCCUGUCCUUCAGCUCUUGGAGAUUUCUUACCAGAUGCACUUCCUGGCCUUGUGUUUGAUACAGCAAGAGAAGAUGUGGUCUGUGGACGAGCGUACCGAGGAAGCUGCUUAUGCAGGUGGAUGGUGCUGACUCAAGGAAAGAGCUGAGCAGCCCUGGACACUGAGCUCUGAUUGUAGGAAAUUACAGCCUUGGCAGAGACCAUUCUGUGCAGGUAAUCAUGGGAAAUUACAGAGGCCUGACAAGACAAUUGACCUUGCUUAUGCCUGCCAAGAAUCUUCUUACUGUCCAGUAACAAGGCUCAGGGUACUGGGAUCACUCACUACGUGGCCUUGGCUCUGCAAGAAUUCCACAAGUAUGGAAUUGUAGAAAUGCUUUUUGUUGUCUGAAUAAAAUAAAGGAGAGG